UUUUAUGAGAGUUUGAUCCUGGCUCAGGACGAACGCUGGCGGCGUGCCUAAUACAUGCAAGUCGAACGCUUCUUUUUCCACCGGAGCUUGCUCCACCGGAAAAAGAGGAGUGGCGA
rnacentral:rRNA from 1 species